UUUUUUUUUUUUUGGUCUUUUUAGGGCCACAUCUAAAGGCAUAUGGAAGAUCCCAGCCUAGGGGUCCAAUUGGAGUUGUAGCUGCUGGCCUACACCACAGUCACAGCAACUCAGGAUCUGAGCUGCAUCUGUGACCUAAGCCAGAGCUCAGAGCAACACUGGAUUCCCGACCCACUAAGUGGGGCCAGGGAUGGAACCUGCAUCCUCAUGGAUACUAGUCAGAUUCGUUUCUGCUAUGCCACAACGGGAACUCCUCAAACAAUUUUUUAAAGUCACCUAUAAUUCCCGUAUGCUGUAGGAUAAUUUUUGCUUCUUCACGGUCCUUCUCAAUUUUAUCCCCCGUACACACACAGUAGGUACACAAUGUUUUCCUCAUUUUAAUCUUGGUAUAAUACACACUUCAGUCAGCCACUUUUAAAAUUUAACGUGUUUUCAUCAACAUAAUGUAAGUCAUCAGACUUACAUUCUCAGUGGUGGCACCUGUCUCCUAUUUUCUGCAGUUGUCUACUAUUAUAAAUAUGCUCCCAUAAGCACAGUGACUACUCUCGGCAUACAUAGGGGAGGGGAUGCUAAGAAAAAUUAGGAAACUAACAGUUUUUUAAAAAGAACAAAGGUAAAUGUUGAGGAUUUAGAAGUUACCUUUAGGAGCCAGGUGAUUUAGCAGAAUUGGGUUCUUGUUCCUAUAUAUUAGUAUGUUAUAGCAGGUAUGCAGUUCUGCUUUGGGGGCAGAGAGGGGGGUUAAUUUUUUUUUUUUUUAAUUUGAAGACACAAAUGCAGUAAAAACCAUAGAUGAAAAUAAAAAUACACAGGUACCCAGCAUUAAUCAAUGUUCAUCAUAUUUUUUAAAAAAUAGGAAGAUUCCUGCAAAGUCGAAGUCUCUUUUGGACUCUUCUGCAGUCAUAUGGGUGACUCUUAAUGACCGCAAGGAACAAACUUAGUCUCAAAGUAGUUUACAUAAAUGGUGAUAAAGGUCCAAGAGAUGGGUGUGAUCUAUACAUACAGACUUUGAUCUUUAACGGGUAUCUCUUUCUAACAUAAUUGCAACAAUAAUGUAUAAUAAUACACAAUGUAUAAUAACAUAUAAUGUAUAAUGCAUUAUAGUUUGAAAGUGCUUUUGUGGCCUACAUAAUAGAGGGAUGUGGGGUAAGCUUCAGCCAAGGCUGCCCCUCUUGCCAGUGGAUCUAGAGUGGUGAAAAAGCAAUAGCGGCUAGGGCGGCCUCUUAUAGGAACUACACAUAAAGCAGAGUUUUGGGUUAAGGGAUCUUUUUACCAGGUUACACUACUUCAAGCUCUCUCCCUAUUAAAAUGUGACCAGGACAAAUCCCUUCUCCUUGGAUCAAUUUGACUCAGAUGGCUCAAGGAGAGAUGGCUGCAGACAGGUUGAAGCUGAAAGCUCCAGCAAAUAUUUUAACAACAGAAAACACUCUUAGGGGCUAUCAAGAGAGCAGUGCAGGGCUCAGAGCAUCUCCUCGCAGUAAAGACAGAAGCACGCUCCAAUGCGCAAACAUAUUUGGAAGUGCAGAACUGCAUGGAACUUUUAAAGCAACAAGAGGGGCUGCAUACCAAGACCACAGUACUGGGCUUCUCCAAGUGUUUCUUUUCAGGAAUCCUGGGGCAUGCUGCUGGAUCACAGGCCGCAGGAUACUGGCAAACUAUAGGAAAAGAGUGGAGAAGAAAAUGCAGAGCAGAAAACAAAAAUGGAAGUCUUUGAAAGGAAGAAAGGAAGGUAUUUUGAGGAUUAAUGUCAAAGAGAUGUAUAUAUAAUGCAUACAGACUCCAGUUUCAGCUUAUUUAGAAGAAAUCAUCGUUUAUGUCUACUCUGUAGAAGUACAGCUUCGAGCAUAUUUUAACACUUGAACAUAUGCGAGAGAAGCAGGAAAAAGAGUCACAAAAGAAAGCACAGGAUUUAUGGGACUGAAUCUGAGCAGCAGCUGCAACCUAUACCACAGCUGUGGCAAUGCUGGAUUCUUUAACCCACCGUGCCAGGCCAGGGAUCAAACCUGUGCCUCAAUAGCGACCUGAGCUGCUCUAGUCAGAAUCUUAACCCACUGUGCUAAAGCAGGAACUCUUCUAUAUAUACAUUUUUUAAAUGGCAACUUACGAGUAAAUUGAUCAUUAAGAAAAAAAUAAAUAAAAGAAUUAGGGCAGACCAGCAAUGUCAAUAAAGUCUCAAAUUUAUUUCAUUUUCACAAAAUAACUGUUGGCUAGAACCAACAUGGAGGUUCUAAUUAGCAUCAGUAUUAUUCCUUGUGAGAAGCCUUCUCUUAGCCACCCCCAGCCCCAGCUGACUACUUCCCCUCUAGAACUUCAGAGCAUUUUUCAUUUUGAGUCUUUUUUGGCAUUACUCACAAUCAUGACAGGUUGCACUGUGGGCUUCAUCUUUCCUUCCAAGUAGUCAUUGAAGGCCUAGGAUAAGAACUGUGUUGACUCACCUUUAUAUCUCUGACCUCCAAUGCAGGAUUCGGCCAAUGUGUGUACUCUCUACAUGCUUGUCAAAACUGAGCCACUGUCUGUCACAGACAGACCAUUGGUCUUAUGGAAGCAAACUCUUCCUACUUUCCAGUCCAGCUUUCCCAGCUUGGUUCUCUUCUUCAGGCAGAGAAUCAACAUCUAUCAAGUUAAAUUCAUGGGGCGGCUUUCGUUGGCUUUCUUCCAUGGGGGAGUAAAGCUAAGGCUUUUUCCACAGAUGCUGACAAUAGUUCUUCCUAUAUGCUGUUAAAGGAAACAAACAAACAAACAAACAAACAAUUGGAGACCUAAGACUGAGUGCUGAGUGGAAAACAGGGAACUUGACCCAGACAGAGGUACACGUCUAGGCCCCCCCAGGGAUAAGGUUUAGGGAAGGAGAAAGGAGGUAGAUCUUUUAAAGCAGAAACCUAGGAGUUCUCGUUGUGGCUCAGUGGGUUAAAAACCUGACUAGCAUCCAUGAGGAUGUGGGUUUGAUCCCUGGUCUCGAUCAGUGGGUUAACAAUCUGGCAUUGCGGCAAGCUGUGGUAUAGGUCACAGAUGUGACUCAGAUCUGGUGUUGCCAUGGCUGUGGCAAUAGGCUGGCUGCUACAGCUCCGAUUUGACCCCUAGCCCGGGAACUUUCAUAUGCCACAGGUGUGGCCAAAAAAAUAAAUUAAUUAAUUAAAUUAAGCAAAAACAUUCAAACUUUCUGUCCCAUGCUAGGAAAGCAAAAUGUCUGAGUUAUGUUUGUUGGUUGGUGAUAACUGCAUUUGUCAUUGUGUAAUUGUGGGGCUGGCUGGAGUGGCCUUUUUGGGAUUGUGGUAUGCAUUUGGGCCACUCUUGGAUUAUAGUAUGUAGGUAACACAUGACCUGCCGGAUAGGGACUAUGUCAUCCACUGGGGUGUCAACAGUAGGCUUGGUGGACUUCUCAGAGUUUAGCCAUGCACAGAACACCCUAGGGUUUGUGGAUCACCUUCCCAUCUGUACUUCAGUCAAGAAGAUCAAACCCCAGACCUUGUCAUUUAAACUGUGGGUGACUUCACUUUUCGACAGUCUUCCUUCUCUGAGGUAAGGCGAAGAAUGAAAAACCAUUCAAUGCCUACUGCAUGGCAGGUAUGGCAGGAACUGUACUGCACUCAGUGACUUUACAGAGAAUCAAAGAGGUUAUCACCACGUUAUGGAGGUGCCACACAGCUAUAAGGGGUAAAUCCAGGCUUCAAAGCCUAGCCUAACCUGGCUUUAAAACUUGGGUUGAUAGCCCCUGAUGUCCUUCAACAGCAUCAACAAGUCGCAGUGGCUCUCACACUGCCAAUGAAUGCCCUGGACAGCUGGCUAUGACACAGAAAUCCAGAGAUCCACCUUAACCUGGAUGGUUUUUUUUUCCCUAGGUCUUAGAGGUCUCUGGUGUUACUUUUCUAAGUAAAAGACUAGAAAUUUGGACAGUUAAGAGAACUGACCAGCAGCAUUAAAUGCUCUCUGGUUAGAGGAAGGGGAAAAAAAAAAAACCUAAGUGAAAAUAGUUAGUUACUCUCAGAAAGGCUGAGAGUAUUUAGGGUUUAAGAAUCUAACCAUGUCUAAUGUUUUAUUGGUUUGGAUAGUAGAAAAAGCGUUAUGUAAAAACAUAUGAUAUAGGAAAUGCUUUUUAAGAUAGAAUUCACUUAAUUCAAAUGAGGUAAUGCAUCUGAAAGUGCUUUAAAAGCAUAAAGUGCUAUAUGAACUGUGAGGGAUUAUUUGUACAAAGUAACCUUUUACAGGUGAAACUUAAAACAUUGGUAUUUUUACUUCUCUUCCAAGAACCAGAGUAGUUUUGGGACUUGCUCUUUGCUGAGGAAAAAAACUCAUGCUUAUUUUCUCAGUUUGGCAGGAUCAGGUAGAGAAGAUAAUUAGACUUGAGGAGGAGAAACUCCCUGAGUCUACAAGAGGCUCCACAAUUGUACUCUCAACUGUGCCUAUUUUGCUGUUCCUCCUACCAGGGAGCUUAAAAUGCCUCUAAUUACACCGUUUUCCCCAUCUCUCCUCUUCUUUGUAAUUUAGAUGCAGCACAGCAGUUCAGUUUGCCUGACUCUCCUCUCUGAUUUGUCAUGUUAGUUUGAUGGGUUUCUGUCUUAUGUGAGUCUUGCCCCUAAAUAAAGGCCCAGCACCCCCAUCUGUGUUUAAAAAAACCGCUUCACAGGCAAAACCAAAGGGCCACAGAGCUCCAGUCACAAUAGGCUUUGAUAUUCAACCAGAGCCAGGUUGCUAUUCAACUCUUGGUUGAUAAAGAAAUUUCAGUCUUAUUUACCUAAAAAUUUUCCUUCUGCUGAUAAGAAUGCAAGUUCUUAUUUCCACCUGGAUGUGCCCACAAACGAAAAGUAAUAUAAUCCUAUGGUUUAACCAUUUCCAUUGGUCCAGAGUAGUUUUCUUCAAAAAGAGUGGGAUCUCAGCAAAUCCGCUGUGAAGUUGUGGUGAGAAAAGAACAAUAAACAUAUGUGGCAGGACAGUAUUUUGAACAUUAACUGAUACCCCCUCUUUCCUAUCUAUUCUUUCCUGUUAUCUCUACCCCUCCCCAUACCCUUUCCCUUUAGGCUACUAAUUAUUUCGCUUUUAUUGCUCAAGGAAAAAAAAUGAAAGAAAGCACAGAAUUGAUUCCUGAUAUUUUUACAUUUCAAAAGAGACUUCAAAACUGUAAGCAGGGGAGAGUUUAAGAGAAAAGUCUACUGAAGGCAAAAGAUUAAGCUUUUGAAAUGUCAAAGCCAAUGCCUGGAAAAGACUCAAGACUCGGAUAGUGUACAGAAUGUUAGAGUCAGACUCUUCUGUUUCCUGCGACUAGGAAGGGUCUGGAUCCAGGAGAGCCAGUGAGGAAGCUAGCAGUGAGCAGACUUCAGGGUUUCAGAGACAGUGGUCUGGUCUGUGAGGUAUACAUCUUGCCAGAGAGCACAGGGGAUGUGAGUCCCACAAGCUGAGGGUAAGGCAAUGAGAUCCCAGAGUUCUCAUCCCCUGCCAGCAAGAAGCAGAAGCAGAAGCAGAAGGCAUGUCUGGGAGAGAACUGGGGUAGCUGGGCCCAAGGUACCUCCAGGGCAUAAUUCUAGGGACGUAGUGGGAAGAGAAAAAUCUUUGUUCUCCCUGUGUGUGUGCCUCUCUCUGUAUCCAAAUUUUCCCUUUUAAUAAGAAUAGCAGGGAGUUCCCAUUGUGGCUCAGCAGGAACACCAGACAUACCAGAUUAGUGCCUGUGCUAAGGGUCUCAUUUUAACUUUUUUUCUUUUUAGGGCCACACCCACAGCAUAUGGAAGUUCCCAGGCUAAAAGUUGAAUUGGAGUUGCAGGUGCUGGCCUACACCACAGCCACAGCAACGCCAGAUCUGACCUGCAUCUGCGACCUAUACCACACCUCAAAGCAAUGCCAGAUCCUUCAAUGCAAUGAGCGAAGCCAGGAAUCAAACCUGCAUCCUCAUGAAUGCUUGGUGGGUUCUUAACCUGCUGAGCCGCAAUGGGAACUCCAAACAUAUCUUUUUGAGAAGGACACAAUUCAACCCACAAAAGCCCGUUUACACAGAUUAGCUCACUAUGUGCUUUUGAACUCCCACCAACCCAUUUCUUGCCACUGAUACCUUCUGGUGGAAUCUGUGGUCAUGAAAACAUCUGGUAAUCUCAUUCACAGUAAGGUAUAACUGACCAAAAUUGUCUAUGUUUAUUUAUAAAGUACAAUGGUCCAAAAUGAUAUAAAGUAACAGUAAGAAAUGGAUAAAAUUUACUAUGUUGUCCCUUUAGGAAGUAUCUACAUUUUAGUAAAUCACAAGGAAUUAUACCACUUCCUCAAUAACAUAUAACAUAUUUGUUAGGAACUGUAAUCAUAGCAAUACAUAGGAUAAUCAGUAAAAACUUGCUCAGUAACACUUGCUUUUUAUUAUAAUUAACAUAAAAACUGCAUUUUCUAUUAAUGGCAAUGUAGGGCUGAAUUCCAUGUUUUAAUGCAAUGAUGUGCACUCAUAAUUCCCUACUGAUGAUUACUGUAAAUUUCUUCAACACCAAAAAGAAAUACAAACACUCCUAAACAAACUGCAAACUUGAUAGCUACUGCCACACUAUCUACUUCAUAAUUGGUUCAAAGCCUAUGAAAUUAGCAAGAUAUUUGAACCACUCAAACCAACAAUGGCUUUAAAGCCAUCCCCUCCAAAACUGCAUUUAGGAGCCAUUUUUGCAAUCAACAAAGGAUUUAUUUUUUUAAACUCAAGAAAGCUGGAGUUCCUAUCAUGCCUCAGCAGAAACAAAUCUGACUAGUAUCCAUGAGGACGCAGGUUCGAUCCCUGGCCUUACUCACUGGGUUAAGGAUCUGGCAUUGCUGUGACCUAUGCUGUAGGUUGCAGACAUGGCUUGGAUCUGGCAUUGCUAUGGCUGUGGAGUAGGUCAGUGGCUAUAGCUUCCGAUUCAACCCCUAGCCUGGGAACCUCCAUAUGCUGCAGGUACACAGAUACGUCCCUAAAAGGCCAAAAAAUAGAAUGUGGGCUAUGGUAACAUAGCUAUCAUUUUACUUUUUAUUUAUUUUUUGAUUUUUGAUUUUUGUCUUUUUGCCUUUUCUAGGGCCACUCCUGCUGCAUAUGGAGGUUCCCAGGCUAGGG
rnacentral:lncRNA from 1 species